UGGGGAAUUUUGGACAAUGGGCGGAAGCCUGAUCCAGCAAUGCCGCGUGUGUGAAGAAGGCCUUCGGGUUGUAAAGCACUUUUGUCCGGAAAGAAAUCCUUGGCUCUAAUACAGUCGGGGGAUGACGGUACCGGAAGAAUAAGCACCGGCUAACUACGUGCCAGCAGCCGCGGUAAUACGUAGGGUGCAAGCGUUAAUCGGAAUUACUGGGCGUAAAGCGUGCGCAGGCGGUUUGCUAAGACCGAUGUGAAAUCCCCGGGCUCAACCUGGGAACUGCAUUGGUGACUGGCAGGCUAGAGUAUGGCAGAGGGGGGUAGAAUUCCACGUGUAGCAGUGAAAUGCGUAGAGAUGUGGAGGAAUACCGAUGGCGAAGGCAGCCCCCUGGGCCAAUACUGACGCUCAUGCACGAAAGCGUGGGGAGCAAAACAGGAUUAGAUACCCUGGUAGUCCACGCCCUAAACGAUGUCAACUAGUUGUUGGGGAUUCAUUCCUUAGUAACGUAGCUAACGCGUGAAGUUGACCGCCUGGGGAGUACGGUCGCAAGAUU
rnacentral:rRNA from 1 species